rnacentral:lncRNA from 1 species
AGAAUAAUGAUAUGAAGAAAGAGAAGAAUUCAAUAUCAAUGGAGGACAACCUUGAAGAUCUUGCUUGGAGAAGCUUAGAUCGUUAUUAAGUUAGCUUAGGUUCUCUCAUUGGCUUGGGAGAACAAUUGCACUAGGGGCCAUAACUGUUCCAUUAUGUAUGUUGAUGCAUGUGUAUGUAUGUUGAUGCAUGUGAAUAUAUGUUGAUGCAUGUGAGAGACGAUUUAUAUGAUAAAUAAGCCGGUGAGAUCAUAA